AAAAACUCUAAAUGGCCUAAUUAAAAACAAUUAAAAUUAAACAAAUAAACAACAAAAAUGAACAAAAACAAAUAAACAACAAAAAUGAACAAAAACUAAAUAGCACCGGGAAUUGCCUCAGGCGCGGUGGCCACCAUAAACAACCAUCAGAUACAGCAAAGAAUCUGUUUCUACCUCCCCAAUCCAAAUCUUCCUUGAAUUUCAACCAAAUCUGAAUCUAUCCUCAAAAUCGGACAAAAGAAUUCAAGAACCCUAGGAGUUCAACCAUUAAUUACACAGCGAAGGACAAGAUUCAGAGCCAUAAUUGUUAGGGAUUUAAAUCGCCAUGAUGCAAGCUACAACAUGAUAACCUAAUUGCAAUAGAAUCAUGAAGAUGAACCUACCUCCGAAGCUGAGAAUUACUCCGCCAAAGUGUUGGAUCGGAGAAGAUGAAGCAGCGAUGGGAAAAUCACUUGAAAUCUGGUUUCAUCAUGUUCAUGGUGAUGAUGGUGUGUCAAGGCUUGAUAGAUGUUGCUGGAGGUUAUGAUAUGUGGAUGUAGGGCAUGGCUGUAAGUUCAAGGCAGAUGUGUAUUGAUGCAACAAGUCAUGGUGAGGUUGCAGCAGGUCAAUGGUCAUGGUUGGUGAGGUCAUGUUUUGCUUGCUUGGCAUGGAACUACAUGAAAGCUCAUGGUGAUGGUUUGGAGAAAACUAAGUUUACUUGCUCAUGAAGAAAUGUUUGGUCAUGCAAUCAAGUGAAAGGAUGCAAAAUAAUGAAGAAUCAAUGUGGAAAUUAUGCGUUAGGUCUAGGAAUUGGGUCGGUUGACUUUGGUUAAUUGGUUGACCAAAAAGCCAACAGUUGACCAAAAGUCAAAUGUAGGUCAAACUUUAUUUUUUUGUAAAAAAAAUUUGUAUGAAACUUUGUAAAUGUACUUGUGUGAAUGAAAUGGACCAUUGAAUUGAAAUA